UACAGAGGUCCCAAGCGUUGUUCGGAUUCAUUGGGCGUAAAGGGUGUGUAGGUGGCGCCGUAAGUCGGGUGUGAAAUUUCGGAGCUUAACUCCGAAACUGCAUUCGAUACUGCGGUGCUUGAGGACUGGAGAGGAGACUGGAAUUCAUGGUGUAGCAGUGAAAUGCGUAGAUAUCGUGAGGGAGACCAGUGGCGAAGGCGGGUCUCUGGACAGUUCCUGACGCUGAGGCGCGAAGGCCAGGGGAGCAAACGGG
rnacentral:rRNA from 1 species